UGGGUUCUGGCUGCUGAGCCCAGCAAAGGCUACAGCGUUGACAUGUCCCACAUUGAGUUGAAAGUGAAUGAGGCCAAUUGGGAACACAAACACAUCUCCCUUGUUCAACACUUUGGUGAAUAGGCGAUUGCCAUCACCGUUGGAUGUGACGAAACCAACAUAGAGUGUUCCUUCCAAGACCGCAAGGAUUUCGGAGGCACGAGGGUGAGUGUGAGGAGGGUUUAGGCCAUUUGGUGCAAAGUCUAGGCGGGCCAAGGAUAUGCCAAGAGUGUUCAGUCCUGCUAGGUUGUCCACAUUCACAGCUGUCACAUUUGAACCAACCGGAUUUUGUGUGUUUCUUGGAUUUUGAAGCCCAGAAAAGAAGAAAUCAUUUGCAUUGGCAAGCUUUGGGUCCUUGCAGAAUUUCCCAUUCACAAACACUGUUUGCACCAAAAAGAAAAAAAGCAAUAAAGUUUUAGUAUUAGUAAGUUGACAGCAAGUGCAUUGACAUGUACAAUAUAUGUAUUUAGACCAUAUAUAAUUACUUCCUCUCUAACAGAGGUAAAAUCUCCGUAAGUGGAACCAAUAGUAGGGAAAAAUAUAAUAUAGCACGAUAUAGAUGUAUACCACCAUCUUUGAUGUCCUUAAGUGCUACACAGAAGUCCUGCAGAGGACUGGGGUCAGAGGCAGAGGCAAGGAACGUUGCAAAUGCCAAUAUGGCAAGAGUGCUUAUGAGACAAUGAACACCUUUCAUCGCAGUACUCUUAAAGCAAGGUUGCCUUAAAACUUUGUGUAGAGAGGUUGUCUGAGGGUGGGAUGAAAAUCCUUCAUGGCAUAUGAGUCUAUUUAUAGAUUAAAGAGAAUGGACUGGUCUUCUACUCUUGGAUAUAAUUUUCCAUGUCGAAGCGGGUAAAAACUUAAAUAUCAUAUUUAGAAGCAAGUCAAUACUAGUGGGUACUAUAAUAUAUUGACCAAAAUUUGAUGUUAAUUUCUUCCGUCCUGAUGCAUAGUACUUGAAUUUUUUACUUCACAUUGAUUGCAUCUUUUUUUGCAUUUUUUGUUCUACUCGUAAGGAAUCAAAUGCAUAUGCAUAGGCUUAUUGUCUUUCGUCGACACAAGGGCUAUUAGGGUUGUUUAAUACAAGGUGAGGUGAAGAAGAAGAUGUUUAUAUAAUCAUGAUGGCAAAGACCAGGUAUUAGGAGUUGUACCAGAAAGAGAGUAGUUAUAGGAGACAAUUAUAUUAAAAAAAUUUAGUUGGUAUUUAACCAAUGGAAACGUUCAAUAUCUAUGUUAUAUGGAUUCAUUCUACCAUAGAAAAUGAUGGUGACAAUACCUCAACAUAAAAUAUAACGGUCCCCCAAUUGCUCCUGUCAUUUCCACCUGCUUGCACCUAGAAAGUCCAGUGCAUGACUUUUUCUUCCUUUUUAUUUUUUCACCUUCUAGAGCUAGUUUGAAACAGGUCUUGCUCGGCUGCUCGUGGUGGAUUUUCUGUGAGUUAGUUUUGGGCCUUGUUUGUGAUUGUGACUUGAGCCUAGCUAUGGGGUUUUUUGUUCGAAACGUUUUUUCUUUUUAGGCCUUAAAAGACAGGUUAGGCCUUAAAAAACAAACCCAUAAAUUUAUUUAAGUAGCUCUUCCCUCUAAAUCUUGUCCAACACCCCAUCAUACACCAAAUCAACCAACGAUACAAGGUUUUACCGUACUUCUUCUAACUAUAAUACUUAAAACAACAGCAGUAACUAUGAUAAAGGGAAAGACUCAAAAGGAUUUAAUGAGCAAGACAAACCCAUGCGGCAGGACCCAUCACACUAACCCAACCAAAGCACAUGAGGGCAGGACCCAUCACACUAACCCAUGCGACUCUCCCAAGAGGCCCUCACGGGCCUAUAUCAUAUCCUGCUGGCGUUUGUUGUUCCCCCCGAAAAUGAAAGACACAUGUCAGUCUGUCACCGAUCACCCAAUAGAAUGGUUCCACUUCAUCAGUCUCCUAAAUUCUAUAUCGGAAAAAGACAAUUAAGAGGUCUCAUCUCCCCUGUAUAAAAGGGAAUACUUUCCAGCUUAAAAAGGUAAUCUAAACUUUAUCCAUACUUAAGUACAAUACUUUUAGCCUUCUUUGAGAAAGACUGAUUGACUUAGGCAUCAGAGAGUAGUCGGUGAACCCACCAUCACCUCUUUUGUGACCCAUUCUUGUUGCAUUUUAAGGAGAUUGGAGCUACCCAGCACUGUACUUGGUGUAACAUGGGUGAAAAAUGCCUUUAAUUUUUCAACCCUUGCUCGGUACUUAGACUCCUCCUAAGUUAGCCUUUGCACCUCCAACUCGUGAGGCAUCAAAUUUCACGCAGCUACACAAAACAAGUGAAUGUCAACACACCCAAGCAAGACUUGCCUACACAGGAAAACUCUCACACACAAUAUAGGGCAAGGUUUCCAACCUUCUAUUUCUCCAAAUAGCAAAGGAUUACAAGCUUUUACUUUUUGUUGGACUACCACAUCACUUGGUAUCUCAACUCAAUCUUCACACGGUAUUUAUAAGCAUAAAACAUGUAGAUGACAUCCCCAUCUACUAAGGAAACGUUGGCAGCCUCUAGAUUUGCCACCUAAACAUUCGUUUCUAUCACAAAACCUGUCCAGCCCACUCUUGACACCACCUUUCAACCCAUUAUGCCUUGAGGGCUAUUUUUACUCCUUAAAAAUCUCCCCCACUACUUGGGACAUGCAGCCACUAUCAUGUAACCUCCCCCACUUACUCUAACACUUAUCCACAUCCCGAAUUUUAAGCUACAGCACUCCCAGCCACGUUCAAACUCCUUUGAAACUACUCAAAACCGUUCAGCCACAUCAGAAUCCCUCUAUAGCACGUCUGCCAGUAUCCUGCCUCGUCCUAGUACACCUCCUGUCGACAUGCUUUGAGCGCCCCUGCACUGCACGCUUGCCUACGCUGCGCUGUUGCCGAGUCUUGUUGCCACUCUCAGCCCAAAACUCACUUUUUCGAAAUUGUCUUGCUUUUAGUGUGCACCUCUAUUGCACCAAUGGCUUGCCUUAGCAUGGUGCAAAGCAUCAAAACCACACCAUGGCCUAUGCCACUUGCUAAGGGUCUUACACUUGGCCACUCAAAGUGCGAUAGAGACAUACAGAAGUACGACUUCAAGACCACGUCCAUCCUUGAGGAAGGGCUAACUGAGUUUGAUGCACUCUGAUUGGUGGUGUGAAUUCCAAGCAUCUCAAAUAUAGUAAAAACAAGACUUGACUAAAUUGGGGGAAAAAAUUAAGUAAAAACAAAAUCAACGAGAAGGGUCGAUUCGAGCUAAGGAGUUGUCAACUCAAAUUGAUUGUAUUAUCAGCAAUCAAGUAGAAUCACAACGGGAAUAGUACGUUGUUUGGGAAAUAAUAGCAGCAGAUGGCAGCGCAAUCUUCAACAUAGUUGGGGUUGUAAUAUGCAUGAAAUAUGUUUAGGGAUCAAUUGUAAUCAAUUUGAAAUAUGUUGAGAUAAAUUGUGUGGAAGAGAGCCUCCAUUCUUCUUGCUUAGGAAUCCAACUCCUUGACGCUUAAAAUAGCUUGGAGCAAAAUUCGAGCUACUUUGAUAAAAUCUUCACUACUGGUAAGGAAUUAAAUGCAUUAUGCAUAGCCUUAUUUGUCUAGCUUGGAGCUAAGGUGGAUGUCAAUAACAGGAAGGAUAUGAGUUGUAUUAAGAUUCUAUUGAAAGCAUGUAUAAUAGUUGAGUAACUAAAUCUCAAUUAGGUUAGCUAAAAGAGAACCACAAACUAAAUAUAUCAACCAAAAUUCAUUCUACCAACUAAAUUUAGAAAGUUGAGUGCAUGAUGACUUUCUCUUAUUUUUUCAUUUUUCACCUUCUAGCUAGUUUGAAACUGGUCUUGCUCUUCCUUUUUAGAAGCAACGGCUGCUCCUCACUAUCCUCCCAUUUGUGGUUAAUUAGUUGGUGGAUGUAAUUAUGGGACCUGCUUUUCCCUCAAAUUCUUCUCUUCGUCUUUACUUUUUCUCUCUAGUAAUUAACUUUUUUCUUUUCUUUUCAAAGGUUGAAUCAAACUUAUUUUUUGGGUUUUGUCGGAUGGAAUCUUUCCAGUUGAUCCACAUGUGUGAAUUUUGCAUGCAAAAUGGAUUUUAAGUACGAUUCAAACUUUUUUCUUUUUCGUGUCUACUUGGGAACCUAACUUUUGAAACCUGCAGAGGAUUCCAAUUCAUUGUAGAUCCAACAAAAUCCAACUGCUCCACCUCCAAAACAUAGAGAUUUACCUGGGGUUGAUUUUCGGAUGCAUUGGAUCGGAUUGAAAAAGGAGAUUUCAAUUCCAUUCCAAAAAAAAAUUAGAAUGAAAAUUCUUUUCCAAUUUCGUUCCAAAAAGAAUUUCAGAAUUUCAAUAUCCAUUUCAAUUUGUAAAACUCGAAAUUUUCAGAAAUUUUGGAUAUUUUAGGAACUUACAUGUUUCAGAAUUUUCCCUUCCAACUUUUUGUUGGGUUUUGUUUGCUUCUUGCUUUUGCAAGAUUUUGUCUCAUCCCUAGUUCUCUAGGGUUUGUUUAGUAGCGUACUCACCAAAAUCGGAAAUUUUCAUAUUAGAAUCGGAUAGAACUAGGGAUUCGAAAGUUCCAAAAUCCAAAAGUUCUGGAAAAAAAAAAAAAAAAAAGAGAAAAAACGAUUAGAAAUAGAAUGUAUUUCAAGAUUCUGAAAAUUCCAAAAUAUAUUAAGGGUUCAAGCUUAGUCUACACAUAAUGACAAGUUUCAUGUUGAAUUUGAUAUGACUUAAUUGAAAAUUUGAAAAAUCAUACGGAAAAGCUCGAAAAUUUCCGAUCACUUAAAAAAACAAGAGAGAGAAAAUAAGUUAAACAAUUGAAAACUAAAAAUAAAAUGAUUAGCAAACAACCCCUAAAGAAGUUUAUUCUAUAAUUGCCUAAUGCCUCUAAUAAAGAUAAACAAUUUUAGUGUAAAAUUAGUUACCAAAGAAGUUCUUAAAGAAAUUUGAACAUUGAAAAUUAAAAUCUAGUUUUCAAAUUCACCAAAAAAUUAUCAUAAUUCCAAAACUUUAUGGGUAAUUUUUUAUUUUUUUAUUUUUUUAUCACUCGAGUUAGGCUCAAAUUUAAAUUUGAUCACCGAAACUUCAAUUUUCCCAAUUUCAUCAUUGUACUUGUACUUGUAGUCGUUAAGAAAAUAUGCAGAAAAACAAUGGGUAACAGAGUUUAUGGAGACUCAAUGGAAGCAAGAAAUAGUAAAUAAAUAUAAAUACGGAAUUACAACAACAAUUACUCUGAAGUUUCAGAUCACUGAGAGUGUAAGCUUUUCACUUUUAUAUAUGGAUCAUGAUUUUGGACUGAAGAGUUGUUGAAAACAUUCAGCCUCUACAUGAUAUCUUUGUUGAAUGCAUGUUAUUAUCAAUUUGUCAGUCAAGUAAAAUGUCCAAACUACAAGUAUGAGAUUAAGAAGAAAGCAAAUAAUAAUAUGUUUUCUAUCAAUAUCCACUGAAAGAUGAGGUAUACGCAUACAUAAACGACCAUCUUAUUCAACUAAUUUCAGCUAAUACAUAGUAAUUUGCAGGUAGUGAAAAACAUAUUGGCCAACUUAAUACAUCCAAACCAAGCUCAUUAACCGUUUCUUCCUCGGCCUUAAUUUUUCUGCUUUCCACAUACAAUUAAUUAAUUUCUUUCUUCUAAUUAUUGUUGUCGUACCAGAACUGUUUCUGGAGAUACUCAACCGCCUUGUUGUCCACUUGGAAGGCCUUAGCUAGAACCUCAGGAUUGAUGGGAGGGUCGGAACCAAAAACUGCAUUUGCAAUGGUUAUCACUCCUGGGUUCUGACUGCUGAGGGCAGCUUGGGCUACAGCGUCACCUUCUCCCACAUUGAGUUGGAAGUGAAUGAGGCCAAUUGGGAACACAAACACAUCUCCCUUGUUCAACACUUUAGUGAAUAGGCGAUUAUUAUCGGCAUUCGAUGUGACGAAACCAACAUAGAGUGUUCCUUCCAAGACUAAAAGGAUUUCGGUGGCACGAGGGUGAGUAUGAGGAGGGUUUAGGCCAUUUCGUGCAAAGUCUAUGCGAGCCAGGGAUAUACCAAGAGUGUUCAGUCCUGCUAUUUGGUCCACAUUCACGGCUGUCACUGUUGAACCAAGUGGAUUUUGUGUGCUUCUUGCAAUUUGAAGCCCAGAAAAGAAGAAAUCAUUUGCAUUGGCAAGCUUUGGGUCCUUGCAGAAUUUCCCAUUCACAAACACUGGUUGUACAAAACAAAAGAAAAAAAGCAAUCACACUUUUUACUAUUAGUAAGUUGACAGCAUACAUUAACGUGAACAAUAUAUAUGUAUGAUUAUAUUUGGACCACAUUUAGCCAAGCAUAAAUAGUUAACAGAAAACCAAUAUCUUCAUAAUAUUCCUAAUUCCUAACAAAAAUAAUUAAUGUGAAAAUAAAUAGUAGGGAAAAAUAUAACAUAGUACAUAAUAUAUUGUAUACCAGCAGAUUUGGUGUCAUUAAGUGCUACACAGAAGUCCUGAAGAGGGCUAGGGUCAGAGGCAAAGACAAGGAUGGUUGCAAAUGCCAAUAUGGCAAGAGUGUUUAUAAGAAAAUGAACACCUUCCAUCACAGUUGGCUUAGCUUAGCUAGGUUGCCUCAAACUUGUUGUGUAGAGAGUUGGUUUGAGGGUGGAAUGAAAAUCCUUCAUGGGAUAUGAAGUCUAUUUAUAGAUUGGAGAAAAUGAACUGGUGUUGUAGAAAAAGUAGGUAAAGACUAAAAAAAAAAUUUAGAAGCAGGUUGGUAAUUGAUAAAAUCUUCAUUAGUGGGAAAAUUAUCUUACUAAAAUUUGGUAUUAGCUUCUUCCUUCCUGAUCCAUAGUUGUAAUUUUUUUUAACUUCUAAUUUGGUAAGGAAUUAAAUGCAUUAUGCAUAGCCUUAUUUGUCUAGCUUGGAGCUAAGGUGGAUGUAAAUAACAGGAAGGAUAUGAGUUGUAUUAAAAUUCUAUUAAAAUCAUGUAUAAUAGUUCAGUAACUAAAUCUCAAUUAGGUUAGCAAAAAGAAAAAUCAUGAUGAUAAAGAUCAGGUAUUAGGACUUCUACAAAGAAUGGUUAAAGGAGAUAACAAUAUUAAGAAUAUUUUCACACGUCUCGUCUGUAUUGGAUGAACAUACAAAAAUUACUCCUACUUCAUUUACCGAUGGAGAAUAAAAUUCGUUUCCAAAGAGAGUAAAAUUCAUUCUACCAACCAAUAAAUUAAGAUUAGUUAACGACUAAUAGUUAAUCAUUCUACCAAAGAGUUCAUUCUGUCAUUAACAUUGAUGGAGACUUCCCACCUCCACCUGCACCGUAGAGAGUUGUGUGCAUAUGAUGACUUUCUCUUCUUUUACAUUUUUCACCUUCUUGCUCUUCAUUUUUAGAAGCAGUGGAUGCUCCUCACUAUCCUCCCAUUUGUGGUUAAUUAGCUGGUGGAUGUAAUUAUGGGACUUGCUUUUCCUACUUAAAGUCUUCUCUUCGUUCUUACUUUUUUUCUUGAGUACAAUUAGGUACAUUAAAUUUGUUCACCAAAUUUUAUUUACCAAAUAGUGUGUUAGUGUUGAAUUUAUUCAUAUAUGAUACAUAUAUGACAUGUUUGAUUUGUUCAUUUCCAUUCUUAAGCAAUUAAGCAUAAAUUCUUAGGGCAAGCCCAAUGAUGGCCGUAAAUCGGGCUGCACCAUCUUGUGAAAAACACAUCUAAAAAACACGCAAAAAUGAGUCUCUAAAACUUUGUAUUCAUAACUUCAAUAACUCAAAAUUUGAGAUGGUGCACCGUAUUAUAAUAUAAGAAUUUAUAAUAGGACGUGACAGUGUGCAAAAAAUUUCAUAUUGUAUCCACAAAAAGUACUUGACGUACCAAGUGUUAAUAAAUUAACCUAUGAAUCUUUAGUAAAAAUUUCACAAAGAGAUUCAUUUUGUCCGAAUAAAAAUUAUUACUCUUUUGAGUGGUCUUUUGCAUGCAACAAAAUGAUUCCAGAUUCGAAUUAGAUUUAGAUUAAAUGGUAAUAACUAUUAUCAUUAUGAACUCUGUAAAAGGCUACACAUUUUGAAAGUAUUAAGUUUAUCUUGUUAAAUAAAACUUUUUUUUUUACAGUAUUAAGUUUAUCUUGUUGAAUCAAACUUUUUUAUUUUAUUUUUUGUUUUGUUUUGUUUUGUCGGAUGGAAUCUUUUCAGUUGAUGCAAAUGAGUGAAUUUUGCAUGCACAAUGGAUUUUAAGUCAAACUUUUUUAUUUUUCGUGUCUACUUGCGAACUUAACUUUUGAAACCAACAAAUAGACAUGUAAUAAAAAAAGUAAUUAACCACUUAUCAAAAAGAAGAAGCAAAGUACCGUUAUAGAUCAAGCUGUCAUGUCAUAUUGGUGAAAAAUGACCUGCCUUCCCUUUACGGAAAAGAAAAAAAAGGCCUCCCAUCUCUCAUAGCCAUGAUUUAUACGUUAGCUAAAAUUUUUAGUCUAAAAUAUGUAACUUUGAAAUUCACCAGGAAUAUAUAAGUAAACCUCAAGAUUUAUUUGAUAAAUUGGAAUAACAAAAUGUAAACCUUGCCACGGGUAAAAUCUGUUUAACUACUCCUAGAAACCCUAGAAAUAAAUAAGGAAUUAAAAUAAGAAAAUAACAAAGUUUCCAAAAAUUGUAAAAACUUUAAAACUAGAUUUCGGACUGCUAAACAAUCUCGGAUGCCCAAAAAAUCUCAUUAAUCAUUGUGUAUCAAUGAAUUUUACUCAUGACGCCGUUCUUUUCGAAUUGAAGGGUUAUGGGCCCGAGUCUGAGCUCGGAGCCCAAAUCUGCAGUUUGCUUGAUUUACUCUUGCGCGCGCGUCAAGUCUUGUUUAAUUGCUUCCGCCAUUUAUUCUACAUCAUAUAUCAUCUUUGACAAUCAUAUUCAAAAUAAAUGUUCAUAAUACAAAUUACUUAACACAACGAUAUGUAGUAUGAUAGUAUGAUUUUAAGAGAAUGAUCAUAUUUAAUUCAUGAAUUCUUUAAACCUCUGAUGACCAAACACAAAUAAAGAAAUUAACUAGCUACAAGAUGUUGCAUUCAAAUAUUUUUAUGUAUCGUUUGAUUCAAGUAAAGUUCAAGAGAACCUUGAUAUUUUCAUAGGACCCGCCCCGGAAUUUCCCAGAAAUCGAAGUGGACCCCGUCUUUGUUUCGACAUCUUCUCGAUGCCGGGCCCACUUACUAAGAAACCGAGACUUUCUACCAAAAUUUUGGCAGAGUCUCUCCUGUAAUUUAAGCAAACCCAACAAAUAAUUUAACCUGCAACAUACAUAAAAUAAAAAUCUCAACCAGCAGCAUGCUUUCAUAAUUCAACAAGUCAUACUAAAAUGGCCUCCGGCCUCACAAUUAAAAUAUACCAUGGGCGAUAACAGAGCAUCUACUGAAUUUAGAUUACAAGAACAGUUGAGUAGAAGAAAUUACUCAAAUCCUAACUAGGAAGAUUCACAGUUCGAGCCUCGUACACUACUUGCACGCUUCCUGGAGGGACUACUGGCUGGGGGGCGCAAAACAGAAAACAUGUGAGUGGACAAAACUAGAUUUGCAGUUAAAAACAAUAUAGUAACCCCACCAUGUAAAAAUAAUGCUCAAGUCAUGCAGGUUCACAAUUCAAUAUAUAAUUACUCAAAACAUGAUUCAGUUAAAACUCUUCAAAACACAAGUCAUCUCCUUCAUAAACCCCAUUCUCUCAGUCUUACAACUCCCGUCAAACCGCUGAAAAACUCUAAUUCUUCACUCACUCAACUAUACAUAUGCAUAUAAAUAUAUAUAUAUAUAUAUAUAAAUAUAACUAUAAAUAGCUAUACGAUAUACUCAUCACACCACCUAGGUACCGGGGAAACAAUCCAACUGGGGGAUCGUUUGACUAGUCCGCAGGAUUUCUAGGUGUUGUCCUGCGUCUAGGGAUGAGCGGUCCAACUGGGGGACGAAACUCCAAAGCUCCCACACUGGAACAUCCAACGCCAUGUGUAGCUCCCAUACUAUGUCCUACGCGCGCAGACUGGAUCAUCACACACCAGAACAUCCAAGGCCAUGGUGAUGACCCUAAACACUAUACAGAGUCUUUCCAUACGCCGGAACAUCCAACGCCGUAUAUGGAAAGUGUCUCACACGCCGAAACAUCCAACGCCGCGAGUGAGACGGAUAACCUAUUCUUCCCACACGCCGGAACAUCCAACGCUGCGUGUGAAAAGUCUAAUAACUGGGGAAGAUACUUACAUAGUGUAAUCAUACAACUUCUCUCAAAAUCAAGUUCUUCCACAACACCCUUCAACAACCCAAGUAUCUCGUCUAUAGAGAAUAUAUAUAAAUAUACUUCCCCACAACCCUUAUAAAAUGCACCCUCAAUACCCACAAUGCCAAACUCACAAUAUAUUGCCAAGCACUAUACAAACAUCAUAUUCAACUCAUGAAUAUAAUAUAUUCAAUAAGCCAUUAAAACAUUAUGCAAAAAUCUUUCAUCAAUAAAACCAUGCAUAUGAUUAAAAAUAAAGUCCACUCACAAAUAUUCCCACGCUGCCUGACCACGUGAGGGUCCUGCCUGCUGAGUACGUGCAGUCGAAACACUUAUUUCGAAAUAUGAACCAUUAACUAAUAUAAAAUUACGUCGAAGCGGAAAUCACAAUUUAAAUGCUUAAAACCCCAAAUUCCCAAUACGUGCACAUUGAAGAAGGUAUCCUAAGGUCCGAUUACAGGUUUAGGAAUCGUUCACGAUUAUACGGUUAUCGCUAACCCGCAAACUUUGCAUUAUUGAAUCGGAACAUCCGGGGCUCCGAUUCAUAAUCCGUGAAGUCCCAUACGGUCCUAGGAAUACCUAGAACAACACAUUUUAAUUCGGAAAGGAUUUAACGGUCGGAACCUAUCGAACCCGGAUAACGCACAAUAUGUGAAAAUCCGUUCGAUAGUCAAACGAUAUCCGAAUUGAGAUCCGCGAAUUCCUAUGUGCUCGUGACAACCUAAGGAUCUCAUCGGGUUAAAUUGCAACUUCACCAGCCUCGCCCACGCGCCGCCACACGCACCGGCAACGCGUGGGUGUGUAGAGUAAUUCCGGUGACGGAAAAACUCCACACCCGAGCUCACCCUUCCUAUCCUAGCUUCUACUCAAGGUCAGGAUCACUUCCUUCAACUACGAAAAGGUCCAAUUCGGGCGGCAACUGGCCGGAAUUUCAUUUUGAAAUGCGACCAAAACCUAGGUUUUCAAAAUCAAUUCCUACCCAGCAAAUCGAUCCAAACCUAUACAAAAGUCAGCUAGAUUUCGAAAAAUGGAUGAGAAACCAUACCUCACCCGUCGGGAUUAGUGGUCGGAGGAGAGAGAACGAGUGACUGAAAAUUCGGACUAAAACCGGCCUGAAAUUCGUAUUUCCCGGCGACGUGGCGGCGGCUGACGGCUGGAGGUGGACUGGGGAACGUCGGCGAGGUCUGGCCAGACGUUUUGGGUCCGGUCUCGAGGCUGGCCGUGGCCUUUGACGGUGGCUGUGCAAAUCGCAGUCGGAGGAGGAGGAAGGUGUUAAUGUAUGCAUUUUGAUUUUUUUCUUUUGGCUUCCCUUGACAACUUUGUAAUAGGAUUUCUAUUAUUAUUUAUCAAGCUCAAGUUUAGAUUGAGAAUAGCUUCUCUAGGUGCUCUUAACUAACAACUAUCAUAUGGAGGUUCAUGCAAAUUGGUAAAGGUAAAUUGUGCAUUGCAUAACAUUGCAUUAUACUGUUUUCAUAAAAUGAUGACUAGUCAUCUGUUUCUUAGAUGACUAGUCAUCCUUGCUCUCCAACUUGAUAACCAACUUUUUUGUCCUAUUCCUUUUUCUCUCUCUGCUGCCAUAUGGGAUUCUGACCUAAGGGAAUUUUUUGGUCUGUAUAGGCCUUGCGAUUCCUCAUUUUGGGAGCCGUGACUUUUGGGGACAAGUUUUGGAAAGUUUCAUAGCAAACUUUCGCUUCUUCUUCCUCAAGAGUAACCUUCAUAUUUUUCAUCUUUGAGUUUUCCAAAUUGUUUCUUUUUGAAAACUGCAUUUGAAAUAUGAAAACUUCAUCUUGCUAGAUCAAACACUCUAUCAUAUACAUCUAGGUCAGAUUCAAGAUUGAUUUCUUCAAGAGUAUGGUUUCUUGAAGAAAUUGGUCAUUUUCUCCAUGAAUCCAAAUUUCAUUUGUCUGAAUUAGAGCUUGCAAGCUAGUGCCAUGGGAUGAAAGAGCUGGAGAAGGAGCUAUCAUUGCCAUGAAGAACUGAGCUUCAAGCUUUGCUAAGUUGGAGAAGAAGAUUGCACAAAGGAGGUAUAGCUCAUCUUCCUAAAUAGACCUAGGAAUUUCUUGAGCUUGCUAGUGUUCUUUGUAAGAAUCUUUUUUGCUUAGUGGAUUGCCUGGUCAGUUGAUGACCCCUAGUUUUUCCCAAUGGUGGGUUUCUGGGUGAACAAUUUCUAGUUUCCAUCUCUGUAAAUUUUCUGGGUUUGUGUUCUUGAUAGUUGACUAGUCAUCUGGAUUUGUGCGGUUGACUAGUCAUCUUUUUCUGCUGUUUGGUGUUUGCUUGAUUAUGUUGUCUUCACACACUUUCACUAUAGUUGUUGCUAGCACAAGGGAUGCCUAGAUUGAUGGGUCCUUCUGAGUGCCUAGGUUGUCACUAGUAAUUCUCUAUGCCUGCAGGUACAUCUUGGUAUGCUCUGUGUACGUUAUUGUUUGGUAUAAUUCAUAUCUAACAGUUGACUAGUCAUAAGAGUAUUUGGUCAAGGUCUAGAGUGUGUGAAGUUUGUUGCGUUCUUGAUUGAAUAUCUUUUAAAUUUACCCCUCGUCACCUAAGUACCAAUUUCAGAAGGAACGACGCGGGAGAGAGAGAGAGAAUCAGGAGAGAGAGAGAGAGGUGAAAAAAAUCUGAUUUUUACCAAACUUUUUGAAAUAUUUACAAGUUUGCCACUGAUAAUGUUUUGCUCGUAACUUUUUUGUUACAACUCCAAUUCAAGCCUACCGCGUGUUUACGAUUUCGUCUCAGUACCACCUACCCAAAAAUACCAUUCGUGGUCCCAAAAUCCUUCCGAAUAAGAAAAUGACCAAUUUACCCCUAUCCUAAGGGUAAAUUCGUAAUUUAUUUUAAAUCAAUUAAAAUAGGCAUUAAUUUUGGAGUCUGGGUGUUACAUAUUUGACUAAAGAGUUGUUGACAAUUCAACCUCCACUUGAUUCUCUAUAGCCAAGGCCAACUCACAUCCUUCCAGUUAACCCGAAGAGAGCCAUAUCAUUAUACCGGCUAAAUCCAAAACCAACACAACUCGUCCAUCUUGUUAUUGCAAUUCCAAAUCCAUGUUGAAGGCUGGUGUACUUGGGUCAAAAGACAACGACUAUCAAGGCGAUAACAACGUUUUACCUCGGCUGCUUUCACACCACAAAACACGAUAACAAAAUAUAAUAAAGAAGCUGAGAGAAAAUAUGUAGAAUGCACAUAAAAUAAAAAUUAUAGAAACGUUUUUUUUUUGGGGGGGGGGGGGGGGUGGGGGGGGGGGGUAGUAGAAUUGGGGCUAGAGCCCAACAACAAAAGAAAUACUACAUAAACAAUUCCUAGUACCUUUUAACUACUUUUUAUUCAUAUGUUUUCUUUCUCUUACAAAACAAACCCUAAUAGGUUAAGCUGGGCCGGUAGGUGAAUGGUCGUUGCUAAGUUUUAUUUUUUGCUUGAAAUUUUUGCUUUAGUUUUCUUUUUUUAAUUUAUUCAAAGCUAAACGACUUAAGUUGGGGUUAAGUAUAUAGAUAAGUGUAAACAAAUCCGAUGCAAACAUGCUUUUGGGCGUGAUUAAACGGCUUUGGUUAUUGUUAAAUGUCUAGGAAGAGCUGCAAGAGGAUUCUUCCAAUCAAUCAAAUGGAAGGCUAUAGAAAAAGGAAAAUUUUGUUAGACAUGAAUGUAUAUACGAGUCAUGCAUUGGAGGAAGAUCUGUGGUUUGACUAGUUUGCCUUGUAUCAGUACUCUCCUCAAAUUCAAGAUGUGCUUGAGAAAGCAUGAUAUUAGGAGAACCAUCAUAUUUGAUUGAUGAAUUGAAUUGAUUGUUGUUGUUUUAUAUAUUGAUUUAGUACAGAGAUGUCAAACAAGGACCUUGAAAAUGAGCUUGAUGAUAAAGUGAAUUGGCCAAAGCCUAUUAAAGACCAUUUUAUUCAUCUAUUAUAUGAAGAGGCAAAAAAAGGCUUGCAAACCAAUACUUUAGAUAAGAAUGAGUAGGUUGCGAUAGAAAAGAAGUUGUUUGACAAGCUUGGGAAGAGAUACAAUCGUGACAAAUUGAAAUAAUUUAAGAAAUAUCACAGUUUUUGAAUUCCAUAUUUGGAUAGGAUACCAAACAUGCCCUAACUAGCUAUAGGAUGUUUCGUUCAAAUAUUUGUAUCUAUCGAUUGAUUCAAGUAAAGUUCAAGAGCACCCAUUGAUAUUUGACUACAGAUAGAGUUGUUGAAAAUUCAGCCUCCACCUGAUUCUCUAUAGCCUAGGCCAACUUACCAAUGUUGAAAAGGCAAAGGUCCUCAAUUUAAGUAUUGCUAAGUUUUAAUGAUAUCUUUGUGGAAUGCAGAUGUUAUCGAUUUGUCAUUUUUCAAGUCAAUUGUCCAAACUACCAACUACGAGAUUAAAAGAUAGAGCACACAGCACUGCAUACUAUAAUAUUGAAUUUAUAUCAAAAUUCACAGGAUAAGGCGUCCAUAAACAACCAUUUUUAUUCAAUCAAUAUUAGAUCAUAAUAAUUUUUGUAAGUAGUGAAAAACAACCAUUUGUAAGGCCUUUUCUGCUUUCCACAUAUAAUUUUCGUUUUUUUUCCCUUCUAAUUGUUGUCGUACCAGAACUGUUUCUGGAGAUAGUCAACCACCUUGUUGUCAACUUGGAAGGCCUUGGUUAGAACAUCAGGAUUGAUGGGAGGCUUGGAGCCAAACACUGCAUUGGCUAUGGUGAUCACUCCUGGAUUCUGGCUGCUAAGCCCAGCAAAGGCUACAGCGUUGACAUGUCCCACAUUGAGUUGAAAAUGAAUGAGGCCUAUUGGGAACACAAACACAUCUCCCUUGUUCAACACUUUGGUGAAUAGGCGAUUGCCAUCACCGUUGGAUGUGACGAAACCAACAUAGAGUGUUCCUUCCAAGACCACAAGGAUUUCGGUGGCACGAGGGUGAGUGUGAGGAGGGUUUAGGCCAUUUGGUGCAAAGUCUAUGCGGGCUAAGGAUAUGCCGAGAGUGUUCAGUCCUUCUAGGUUGUCCACAUUCACAGCUGUCACAUUUGAACCAACCGGAUUUUUUGUAUUUCUUGGAUUUUGAAGCCCAGAAAAGAAGAAAUCAUUUGCAUUGGCAAGCUUUGGGUCCUUGCAGAAUUUCCCAUUCACAAACACUGUUUGCACCAAAAAUAAAAAAAAACAAUAAAGUUUUAGUAUUAGUAAGUUGACAGCAAGUGCAUGGACAUAUAUAAUAUAUGUAUUUGGACCAUAUAUAAUUAUCCUCUCUAACAGAUGUAAAAUCCCCCUCCAAUAAAGUUUUGGUACGUAUAAAAUAGUAUUUCAUAUAUGUAUAAGAAACAGUGUAUAUCUGUGCGUGAAAAUGCCAUGCAAAGGCAUAUAUAUAUAUAUAUAUAUAUAUUUAACAGAAAAACAGCCCUUCAUAUAUUCUUAAUGCCUUACGAAAAUAAUUAAUGUGGAAAUAAUAGUAGGGAAAAAUAUAAUAUAGCAGGAUAUAAAUGUAUACCUCCAGAUUUGAUGUCCUUAACUGCUACACAGAAGUCCUGAAGAGGACUGGGGUCAUAGGCAGAGGCAAGGAACGUUGCAAAUGCCAAAAUGGCAAGAGUGAUUAUGAGAAAAUGAUCACCUUUCAUCGCAAUUGGCUUAGCUAGGUUGCCUUAAAACUUUGUGUUACUGUUUUUUGUGUCUAGAGAGUUGGUGUGAGGAUGGGUUGAAAAUCCUUCAUGGCAUAUAGGUCUAUUUAUAGACUGGAGAGAAUGUACUAGUCUUCUACAGUACUUUUGGAUAUAAUUUUCUUAUCGAAGCAGGUAAAGACUUAAAUAUUAUAUUUAGAAGCAAGUCAUGACUAGUGGGUAUAUAUUGACCAAAAUUUGAUAUUAGUUUCAUUCCUGUUUUCACAUUGAUUGCAUCUUUCUUUCUUUUUUUCUUGUGAAUGUAAAUAACAAGAAGGAUAUGAAUCGUAUUAGAAUUCUAUUAAAAUAAUGCAUAGUUCAAUAACUAAAUCUCAAUAAAGUUAGCAAAAAAUAAACACUAAGGGUCUGUUUGAUAAUCAUUUUAAUUUUUGUAUUUAGUUUUUAUUUUUUGUGUUAGAGUAUAGAGGAAAAUGAAAGUGAGUGUGAGAUUGAGAGAGAGGAUGAGAGGGGAGGAUGAGAGGGGAAAUAACAAAAGUGAAAACAAAAACUUGAAAGUGAAAACAAUUUCAAAUAUAGAUUUCAGUUUUUUAAUUUUUUUUUUCCAGUUUUGUUACUUCUCCCUCCCAUCCUCCCCUCUUAUCUUCCCUCUAAAUCUCAUCUCCACUCUCAUUCUCACUUCCAUUCUCCCCCUCGUUUCUCUAUACUUUAGUGCAAAAAAUGAAAACUAAAAACUAAAAUUGAAAUGAUUAUCAAACAGGCCCUAAAUAUAUGAACUAAGGCUGAUCAACCAUUGAACAAGGCAAAUUUUCUACAUAUAUAUGUUAUUACUAUUAAAAAUAAACAAAUAUCAGUUGUGAUAGAAUUUUCAAGAUCUUUGACUCAGCCCAUUGUUUGUUGUUUCAAUAAAAUAAAAUGCCCUUUGUAAAGGUCUAUUAGGGUAGUUUAAUACAAUAUGAGGUGAGGAAGAAUAUGUUUAUAUAAUCAUGAUGACAAAGAACAGGUAUUAGGAGUUGUACCAGAAAGAAAGAGUAGUUAAAGGAAAUAAUUAUAUUCAAAAAAAUUUAUGGAAUUUAACCAAUGGAAACGUUCAAUAUUUAUGUUAUAUGGAUUCAUUCUACCCUAAAUAUAAAAUAUAAGAGUUCCCCAAUUGCUCCUGUCAUUUUCACCUGCACCGUAGAAAGUUUAGUGCAUGACUUUUCUUCCUCUUCAUUUUCACCUUCUAGAGCUAGUUUGGAACUGGUCUUGGUCUGCUGCUCAUGGUGGAUUUUCUGUGAGCUAUGGUGUUUUAGGAUUUAGCUGGUGGAAAGACGGACUGUAAUGUUUUUCCCAUCGCACUAACCCAGGCAACUCUCCCCAGAGGCCCGCGCACACCUACGUCAUAUCCCACAUAUGUCUGUUGCUCCCAAAAAAAGGAAAGGACACACGUCAAUCUGUCACCGAUCACCCAAUAGAAUGGUUCCACAUUAUCAGCCUCUCUUGAGUCCCACAUUGAAAAAACGACCGUACUUGGCCAACACCGUACUUGGCCACUCCAAGUGCGAUAGAGACAUACAGAAAUACAACUUCAAGACCACGUCCACCAUGAAAAAGGGUUAAGUAAGUUUGAUGCACUCUGAUUGGUGGUGUGAAUUCCACGCAUAUCACUCAAUGUAGUAAAAAACUGGGGAAAAAAAUUAAGUAAAAAGCAAAUCAAAAAGUACGGUUGAUUUGAGCUAAGGAGUUGUCAACUCGAAUUGAUUAUUAGCAAUCUUGAACAUAGUUAGGGUUGCAAUAUGUAUGAAAUUGUUUUGGGGAUUAAUUGUAAUAAGUUUGAAAUAUGUUGAGAUAAAUUGUGUGGAAGAGAGCCACCUCUCUUUUUUUCAACUUGCUUAUAUGUUGGAAUUUAACCUAGCUUGAACAGGAAUCCAACUCCUUGACGCCUAAAAUAGAUUGGAGCAAAAUUCGAGCUACUUUGAUAAAAUCUUCACUACUGGUAAGGAAUUAAAUGCAUUAUACAUAGCCUUAUUUGUCAGUAAUUAAAUCUCAAUUAGGUUAGCAACUAAAUCUCAAUUAGGUUAGCAAAAAGAGAACCACAAUAAACUAAAUAUAUCAACUAAAAUUCAUUCUACCAACUAAAUUUAGAUUCGUUAAAGACUAGUUAAUGUCAUAUGGAUUCAUACUACCAAAGAGUUCAAUCUCUCAUUAACAUUGAUGGUGACUUUCCACCUGCACCUGCACCUGCACCUGCACCGUAGAAAGUUGAGUGCAUGAUGACUUUCAUUCUUCCUUUUCAUUUUUCACCUUCUAGCUCUUCGUUUGAAACUGGUCUUGCUCUUCGUUUUUAGAAGCAUUGGUUGCUCUUCACUAUCCUCCCAUUUGUGGUUAAUUAGUUGGUGGGUGUAAUUAUGGGACCUGCUUAUCCUCAAAGUCUUCUCUUCGUCCUUACUUUUUUUCUCGAGUACAAUUAGGUACAUUAAAUUUGUUCACCAAAUUUUAUUUACCAAAUAGUGUGGUGGUGUUGAAUUUCUUGCUCAUUUUUAGGUGCUUUCUCUUAUGUGCCUUCUUCGUUUAUUAUUGUUUAUUCUUCAAUAAGUAUGCUAAUUGAGUUUGUCGAUCAUAUAUGUAUGGUAUUAAAAUAUGGAUGUUAAAAUAGUAUGUUUAAAAUAUUUUUAAUAAUGUUUAUCAAAAUAUCUUAAUUAUAAAUAAAAAAUUAUGAAAAAAAAUAUUUUCAAGAAUUCAACCAAACAAGUUUUUAAAUUUUAAAGAUUCAAUAACAGUUUUCAAGUUACAUACCAAAAAUGGAUUAGAGAACUUCUUAUUUUUAAGAAAAAUCAUAAUUUUAAAGUUCCCUAUUUAAAUAAAAUACCAAACAUACCCUAACUGGCUACAGGAUGUUUCGUUCAAAUAUUUGUAUCUAUCGAUUGAUUCAAGUAAAGUUCAAGAGCACCCAUUGAUAUUUGACUAAAGAGUUGUUGGAAAUUCAGCCUCCACCUGAUUCUCUAUAGCCUAGGCCAACUUCCCAAUGUUGAAAAGGCAAGGGUCCUCAAUUUAAGUAUUGCUAAGUUGUGGAAGGCAGAUGUUAUCGAUUUGUCAUUUUUCAAGUCAAUUGUCCAAACUACAUGUACACAGCACUACACAAUAUAAUAUUGCAUUUAUAUCAAAAUUCACAGGAUAAGGCAUCCAUAAACGACCAUUUUUAUUCAAUCAAUAUUAGAUCACAAUAAUUUUUGUAAGUAGUGAAAAACAAUCAUUUGUAAGGCCUUUUCUGCUUUCCACAUAUAAUUAUCGUUUUUUUUUUCCUUCUAAUUGUUGUCGUACCAGAACUGUUUCUGGAGAUAGUCAACCACCUUGUUGUCAACUUGGAAGGCCUUGGUUAGAACAUCAGGAUUGAUGGGAGGCUUGGAGCCAAACACUGCAUUGGCUAUGGUGAUCACUCCUGGAUUCUGGCUGCUAAGCCCAGCAAAGGCUACAGCGUUGACAUGUCCCACAUUGAGUUGAAAAUGAAUGAGGCCUAUUGGGAACACAAACACAUCUCCCUUGUUCAACACUUUGGUGAACAGGCGAUUGCCAUCACCGUUGGAUGUGACGAAACCAACAUAGAGUGUUCCUUCCAAGACCACAAGGAUUUCGGUGGCACGAGGGUGAGUGUGAGGAGGGUUU
rnacentral:lncRNA from 1 species